GGACCUUUAGCUCAGUUGGUUAGAGCAACCGGCUCAUAACCGGUCGGUUCUGGGUUCGAGUCCCAGAAGGUCCA
rnacentral:tRNA from 1 species